CUUGGUCAUUUAGAGGAAGUAAAAGUCGUAACAAGGUCUCCGUUGGUGAACCAGCGGAGGGAUCAUUACAGAGUUGCAAAACUCCCUAAACCAUUGUGAACGUUACCUUCAAACCGUUGCUUCGGCGGGCGGCCCGGGUCCGCCCGGUGCCCCCUGGCCCCCUAGCGGGGCGCCCGCCGGAGGAAACCCAACUCUUGAUUAUUAUGGCCUCUCUGAGUCUUCUGUACUGAAUAAGUCAAAACUUUCAACAACGGAUCUCUUGGUUCUGGCAUCGAUGAAGAACGCAGCGAAAUGCGAUAAGUAAUGUGAAUUGCAGAAUUCAGUGAAUCAUCGAAUCUUUGAACGCACAUUGCGCCCGCCAGUAUUCUGGCGGGCAUGCCUGUUCGAGCGUCAUUUCAACCAUCAAGCCCCAGGCUUGUGUUGGGGACCUGCGGCUGCCGCAGGCCCUGAAAACCAGUGGCGGGCUCGCUGUCACACCGGGCGUAGUAGAUUUUAUCUCGCUCAGGGCGUGCUGCGGGUUCCGGCCGUUAAAAAGCCUUUUUUACCCAAGGUUGACCUCGGAUCAGGUAGGAAUACCCGCUGAACUUAAGCAUAUCAAUAAGCGGAGGAAAAGAAACCAACAGGGAUUGCCUCAGUAACGGCGAGUGAAGCGGCAACAGCUCAAAUUUGAAAUCUGGCCUCACGGUCCGGGUUGUAAUUUGUAGAGGAUGCUUUUGGCGAGGUGCUUUCCGAGUUCCCUGGAACGGGACGCCAUAGAGGGUGAGAGCCCCGUACGGUAAGACCACCGAGCCUCUGUAAAGCUCCUUCGACGAGUCGAGUUGUUUGGGAAU
rnacentral:sRNA from 1 species